UUGCUCGGUAAAACUCAGCUGGUAAUUC
rnacentral:sRNA from 1 species